rnacentral:rRNA from 1 species
CCUACGGGAGGCAGCAGUGAGGAAUAUUGGUCAAUGGGCUUACGCCUGAACCAGCCAAGUCGCGUGAGGGUAGACUCCCCUAUGGGUUGUAAACCUCUUUUGUCAGGGAGCAACGCCGGCUACUUUUAGCCGGCCUGAGAGUACCUGAAGAAAAAGCAUCGGCUAACUCCGUGCAAGACGCCGCGGUAAUACGUAGGGGGCACGCGUUCUCCGGAUUUACGGGGUGUAAAGUGGGCGUAGACGGGUAUGUAAGUCUGGAGUGAAAGCCCGGGUCCCAACGCGGGAACUGCUUUUGAUACUGUGUACCUGGAGUACAGGAGGGGCAGGCGGAAGGCGUGGUGUAGCGGUGAAAUGCGUAGAUAUCAGGAGGAACACCGGGGGCGAAGGCGGCCUGCUGGACUGAAACUGACGUUGAGGCUCGAAAGCGUGGGGAGCAAACAGGAUUAGAUACCCCAGUAGUC